UACGAAGGGGGCUAGCGUUGCUCGGAAUUACUGGGCGUAAAGGGCGCGUAGGCGGACAGUUUAGUCAGAGGUGAAAGCCCAGGGCUCAACCUUGGAAUUGCCUUUGGUACUGGCUGUCUUGAGUUCGGGAGAGGUGAGUGGAAUGCCGAGUGUAGAGGUGAAAUUCGUAGAUAUUCGGCGGAACACCAGUGGCGAAGGCGACUCACUGGCACGAUACUGACGCUGAGGCGCGAAAGCGUGGGGAGCAAACAGG
rnacentral:rRNA from 1 species